UCACCGGGUGAAAGAUUUGCUU
rnacentral:miRNA from 1 species